GAUCUCCUCAGGAUCACAUCUGGAGGGUUUCCAUUACUCUACCAGUCUCAGCUAUGGGAGGGAGAGUCAAGCAGAGGCCUACCCUUUCCAUUCCUAGCUUGGCCAGUGGCUAGUGAGUGGAAGACCAUCUGUAACACGU